GAAUGUAUUGGAAAGGCACAUUAACAGUUUUAAGCUUUGUUUAUUUUUUUGAAAACAGCAUUUCUCAAGUCAAGGCCACCUUACCCCCACAAGAGAUGAUUACAUUAGCCGUAGCUACAAUAUUGCAUGCAUUUAUUCACCUUGGAAUGAACUGUGUGCAAAAAGCACUAAAGAGGAGGGGGAGUGCAAUAGAAAGUGCUUGUAAAACAUCUUGAACAAACAUCGAAUGUGCAAAAUGAUGGUCAAAAAUCAUGGAUUGAGAAAGUCUCAUCCUCCAUUAUUUUCACUUUUCUUUUUUGGCCUUGUAUUCUUACAAUUUAUACCUACAGUAUCAUGAAAACCCUGUGAAAUGAAAGCACUGUUUAUCAGCUUUUUGUGUGUCCACUCUGUCCUGUGCUCAAACAGGAAAUAUAUGGCUAGAUGUUGAAAUACAAAAUGCAAAAACACUACAGACUAGAUUAUCCUAUUUUUGUUCUCAGGCCACACAAUCUUACGGCAUUUUAAAAGGCCUAUUUUACAAUACUGAAUUCUUGCCAUUCCACUUCUCCAAUCCAAUGUUUCUGACAGAAUUGGCCUCUCAUAUUCAGAGAUGUAAGGCAAAGUUGCAAAUAAUCAGAGUCCUUUAAUCCAAUGCCUGAUUAAUUCUGAGUUAGCCUGAGAAGCCCUGCUUGGCCCCACAAAGGAAAACUAAAACCUUAUACAUCCACUGAGUAGUCAACUCUUUUAAUUCCCUGUAUGACUAAUUUUGGAAAAAUACAGCUGAUGGCUGCAGGUAAACAAGGACUAAGAAACAGGUCCAAGUCUCUGACACAAGCACACAAUGGUUUCAAGCUAGAUUGAUAGUCACAUAUAGUGAUUAUUUUAAAACUUUAACUGAAAUAGUUGAAAUAUCCAUUUUAGCUGCAGCCAGGUCACCAAUGUGAACAAUACAUCACACUGAUGUAUCACAGUGUUUACUUACAGUGGAGCUGAUAGCACAGGCUACGAGUAGUCGCUAAAAGAAUUAUAUCAGGAAUUAGUUUCUGAGGUGCAAACAUGACUACACGUUAAGAAUGUUUGACAACUACCAAAUAUGAUCAUAAUCUAUCCAAGUGCUGCAGUCUUCUGAAUAUUGAGAUGUGUACAAACAGCCACUCAGUCCCAUUUUCUACAGGUUUCUACUGCUUAUUGUGUUUUCUCUCUGUCUGUUUUAACACCCUGCUUAUUUAUUCCAUGCAUUUUUAACACUUGCAAUGUUUGAGUGGCAUAGUGUUUUCUCACUGAGUACAAGGUCAAAGUAUAAUUCAAAUAUUUAAAGCUAACUCUUUGGCUGACUGGUCGCUAGUUUUAUUAUCUUGUGCGUUGAACAGCUUUAAGUAUUCCAAUAGUGUCUUAUCUUUGGAUUUGGAAAAUGUUGCAGAAUAUAAAUUCCUAUAUAUAAUUUCACUAGAAGAGUCUAGUAUCAAAAUCUACAAAGUAUAACGUGCUUCCACCAAAGAAUAAAUGGCAAAGCACUUGAAACAAAUGCGAUUCAACUGAACUCCCAUUACAUGCAGCUUCCAAAAUCUACUGUGCUAUAUAGAAAGUGCAUAUCCUCUACUCCUUUCAAAGUAGUGACAGUUCACCCUUCUAGAAUAAUAGUUUAUAUCAAAUAUAAAGCAAAUCUACAAAAAUAAUGGAAUUUCUUCUUUUAUUCUGCUAUGUAAAGCAACUUUGACCUAGAAAAGUGCUGUAUAAAUUUGAUGUAUUAUAUUGUUUUUAAGGCCACAAAGUAAAAAAAUAUAGCCACAAAGAAAUAUGUAUAAAUGUAUAAGCUUUAAAGCCAGCACUUUUUAGGGUAAUGAGAUAUACUGCAAAAGCUCUGUUUGAAAAUCCCCGACUACACCAGUUUGAACAAUAUACAGUUUAAAGGUAAACAUCGACUUGUCUAUUAAGACCAAUUGUAAACUUGUAAAAUGAUGGCAGUGUCAAUUCAAGACAAAGUGUCAAUAAGAGGGAUUUGGAUGGUUUAACUCCCUGCUAUUGCCACCAGUGAAUCCAGUCACCUUUAUAUAAGCCUGGACUUAUAAUAGGCAGAGUAAUGUGCAUAAUAAAGAUGCUGGUGAAUUGGCAUUGUGUUUGUACCCUGUGCCGAUGUGGUUGAGCUGCGUGUUUGUUCCAAUGGGUUGCAUGAUAAGGCUUUAGUGCUGAAUGUGUGCUUGUGUUGUGUGCUGGUAGCAUUGCAUUGAGAUUAUGAAGGUCCAGAGGUCCUCUAACUGGAUUUCUUCAGGCUACUGGUGCCUGUACCUCUCGACUUGUUCAACACCACGGUGGCCUGAGAAAAAAA